CAUAGAUUAACGGCAGUGACACGUCAAAUGUUUUUUAUGAAGAUGAGCAAUAACAUAGUUCUAUUUUUGCUAACAGUAACCUGUUUAUCCACCAUCUACUGCGAGUCUGUAAGAAACAAGAAGGACUCUACCGACAAGUUUAUCAUUGAAACUAAAGUUUUUACGGACGUGGCGAUGUAUAAAAGAUGGUAUUCGUGGACAAGCGAUACGACAGCGGAGAAAAAUGAAAGUCAACUUCACUAUCUAACACAGAGCGUGAUUAAAGAAUACGUUUCUCUGUGUUUUCAUCAGGUUGUAUUUUAAUGUAUGUUUACAUAGC